rnacentral:rRNA from 1 species
CCUACGGGAGGCAGCAGUGAGGAAUAUUGGUCAAUGGCCGGAAGGCUGAACCAGCCAAGCCGCGUGAGGGAGGAAGGCGCAGAGCGUCGCAGACCUCUUUUGCCGGGGGACAAAAGGCCGGACUCGUCCGGUCCUGAGGGUACCCGGAGAAAAAGCAUCGGCUAACUCCGUGCCAGCAGCCGCGGUAAUACGGAGGGUGCGAGCGUUAUCCGGAAUCACUGGGCGUACAGGGCGCGUAGGCGGUAAUAUAAGUCAGAUGUGAAAAGUGGGGGCUCAACCCCUAGAGUGCAACGUAUACUGUAUAACGUGAGUGUGAGAGAGGGAAGCGGAAUUCCUAGUGUAGCGGUGAAAUGCGGAGAUAUUAGGAGGAACACCAGUGGCGAAGGCGGCUUUCUGGCUCAUAACUGACGCUGAGGCGCGAAAGCGUGGGGAGCAAACAGGAUUAGAUACCCGAGUAGUC